rnacentral:rRNA from 1 species
GACGUAGGGCGCGAGCGUUGUCCGGAUUUAUUGGGCGUAAAGAGCUCGUAGGCGGCUUGUCGCGUCGUCCGUGAAAACCCACAGCUCAACUGUGGGCUUGCGGUCGAUACGGGCAGGCUAGAGUUCGGUAGGGGAGACUGGAAUUCCUGGUGUAGCGGUGAAAUGCGCAGAUAUCAGGAGGAACACCGGUGGCGAAGGCGGGUCUCUGGACGACUCCUGACACUGAGGCACGAAAGCUAGGGGAGCAAACAGG